rnacentral:rRNA from 1 species
CAGCAGCCGCGGGAAUACGAAGGUCCCGAGCGUUGUUCGGAAUCACUGGGCGUAAAGGGAGCGUAGGCGGCGUGGUAAGUCAGAUGUGAAAUCCCGGGGCUCAACCCCGGAACUGCAUCCGAUACUGCUGUGCUAGAGGAUUGGAGAGGUAGCUGGAAUUCUUGGUGUAGCAGUGAAAUGCGUGGAGAUCAAGAGGAACACUCGUGGCGAAAGCGAGCUACUGGACAAUAUCUGACGCUGAGGCUCGAAGGCCAGGGUAGCGAAAGGGAUUAGAUACCCCCGUAGUCCCUGUCUCUUAUAC